rnacentral:rRNA from 1 species
CCUACGGGGCAGCAGCAGUGGGGAAUAUUGGACAAUGGGCGAAAGCCUGAUCCAGCCAUGCCGCGUGUGUGAAGAAGGCCUUCGGGUUGUAAAGCACUUUCAGUGGGGAAGAAAGCCUUGGGGCUAAUACCCUCGAGGAAGGACAUCACCCACAGAAGAAGCACCGGCUAACUCCGUGCCAGCAGCCGCGGUAAUACGGAGGGUGCGAGCGUUAAUCGGAAUUACUGGGCGUAAAGCGCGCGUAGGCGGUCUGAUAAGCCGGUUGUGAAAGCCCCGGGCUCAACCUGGGAACGGCAUCCGGAACUGUCAGGCUAGAGUGCAGGAGAGGAAGGUAGAAUUCCCGGUGUAGCGGUGAAAUGCGUAGAGAUCGGGAGGAAUACCAGUGGCGAAGGCGGCCUUCUGGACUGACACUGACGCUGAGGUGCGAAAGCGUGGGUAGCAAACAGGAUUAGAUACCCCGGUAGUC